rnacentral:rRNA from 1 species
UGGGGAAUAUUGGGCAAUGGGGGCAACCCUGACCCAGCAACGCCGCGUGAGGGAAGAAGGUUUUCGGAUUGUAAACCUCUGUCCUUGGGGACGAAGAAGUGACGGUACCCAAGGAGGAAGCUCCGGCUAACUACGUGCCAGCAGCCGCGGUAAUACGUAGGGAGCGAGCGUUGUCCGGAAUUACUGGGCGUAAAGGGUGCGUAGGCGGUUUGGUAAGUCAGAUGUGAAAUACCCGGGCUUAACCCGGGGGCUGCAUCUGAUACUGUCAGACUUGAGUGCAGGAGAGGAAAGCGGAAUUCCUAGUGUAGCGGUGAAAUGCGUAGAUAUUAGGAGGAACACCAGUGGCGAAGGCGGCUUUCUGGACUGUAACUGACGCUGAGGCACGAAAGCGUGGGGAGCAAACAGG